rnacentral:rRNA from 1 species
AUACUUAGGGUGCAAGCGUUAAUCGGAAUUACUGGGCGUAAAGCGCUCGAAGGCGGCUUGUAAAGUCGGAUGUGAAAUCCCCGGGCUCAACCUGGGAACUGCAUUCGAUACUGGCAGGCUAGAGUAUAGUAGAGGCAAGUGGAAUUUCGGGUGUAGCGGUGAAAUGCGUAGAUAUCCGAAGGAACAUCAGUGGCGAAGGCGACUUGCUGGACUAAUACUGACGCUGAGGAGCGAAAGCGUGGGGAGCAAACGGGAUUAGAAACCCUGGUAGUCC